rnacentral:tRNA from 1 species
GGGGCGGUAUUUUAAUUGGUAGAAUAUUUGUUUUGCAUAUAAAAGGUUGCCGGUUCAAGUCCGGCCCGCUCCAACA